UACGGUAAAUUCAUGCUGAAAAUACUGCUUUUCGUUCGAUCACUGUAGUUAAGCAGCGUCGAGCCUGGUUAGUACCUAGAUGGGUAAACACUUGGGAACACGGGGUACUGUA